GAUGAAUAAGCUUCCGGUUGUAUGAUUUAAUUUUUUUACUAACAAUGCGUGUUUCAGAUUUUUUUAGUUGUUAGAUCAUAAUUUUAAAAUUAGUUUAAAUUAACAAAUGUGUUAAGGAAGGUUUUUUUUCACUGGCAUGGAUUAUAUUUUUCGCUACAGAAAAAAAUAAUAAGUUGCCAGAUUUCUUUUUACAUUACCAUCAUUAGAAGGGAAAGUAUGGAUUUCUUUAAAGAAGUAUUUCGAGCUGCAUUUGUUUUACCGUUUUCGGCCGGUAAUGUAGACGAGAAGAAUGGUUCACACGACGGCAGCCUGGCAGGACUUUUACUGAUGUCUACUUCAAUCGCUAUCCUUUCUGAGAUUCUAAUGAUUGGGUUUUCAACUAACGAGACUAUUUCGUCUAAAUUCAGCGUUGGACUAGCAGUCUUAUCAUUUCUGUCUGCUCUAGCGAUUGUAAUUUGCGUGUGUAUUAGUUUAUACGUGUCAUCAAGAGGGAACAGUGUGUUUCGUAUUUUACCAUGGAAUACAUGUAAUACAAUAAGACUAAGGUUUUUGUGGAUUUUUUGUUUCAGCUGUAUUAUUUCAAGAACAUUGGACAUGACUUUUUAUAUUGAUUGUCUAACUAACUCGAUGAAAUUGAAAUUUACAGUAGACAAUAUAGUAUAUGAUCUGGUCUGUAUAGUAUUUUACGUUGUACAAACUGCAUUCAUAACAUAUUUUUCGCAUUCGCGAUUUACCAGCCACCUUGGUGUUUAUUAUGGAUUACUUAUUAUAUUCCUAACAAAUAUUUCCGUAAUAUGUCAUGCAUUGGCUUUUACUUUUAAACCUAAGGAAGUUGACAUGGUUGACAUUUUUAAUUUGACGACAAAUACCCAACAUACUUCGAGUAAUACAUCUUGCUACAAGUCAAGUAUGUACGCAGUAUUGAUGAAGAUUGAUCCUUUCUUGCUACCGGCAUUUUGUGAAUAUUCGCUUGUUUCAAUAACAUUUAUUAUGAAUAUGUGGCCAAAAUUUGGAUUGAAAAAUGACGAAUUUGUGCUGGAUGAUAUUUCACUUGACGUAAACAGAGAAACGUCAGAGUCGACGAGCAAUUUAAGAGGAUCGAUAAAUGGUAGGUCAGAUUCGACAAAUACCAGGCGGAAUAAUGAGCGUAUUCCUUUAUUAGACAACCCUGAAAGCACAACAAACUACAGACAACACCGUAUAAGAAGAUUUAUAAGCAUAUCUGUUCCUAUUCUUCUUAAUCUGCCGUCAGUAAUAUUAUACUGUUUACACAUUUCAAAAGUACCAUCUGUACAUUUAGGCUUAACAAUAUCAAUUGCUUUAGGAGAUACCAUUGAGCUGCUUUUGUACGUGAAAUGUUUUUUCUCUCUUCAGACGCAAUGCAAACCUUUGAAACAAAAGGAAUGUUCCUCUCUUGAUUCUGGUGAUUACAUUCUAAUUGCAAGUGCGGUUGCAGCAAUAUCAUAUUACACGGUAAAACUUAUGUCAAAUAUUUACAAUGUCAACUCUGAAGCUACAUAUGCUAUAGGUUUUUAUAAACUUGUUAUUGAUAUUAUCGCAGCUUAUUUCCAAACAGUUUUCAUCUUACAAAUGAAAAAAUAUUCGAAGGCUUUUAAUAUAUCCUCGUGGACGUCUGUUGAAUACACUUGUUUAUUAAUGUCUUUUAUGAAUUUAUGCUCAUGGGCGGCUGAUACUUUAAUAGUUUCACAAUAUGUUUACCAAAAUGACGCACCAUAUCAUUUCUUUGGGUCAUCUGACUGGACAGAAAUCUUUGGAUUUUUAUACCCAUUUGUGAUCUUUUACAGAUUCAAUGCUUUCGUAUCCUUUUAUGGUUUGUAUGAUAGAUUGAAACAUUAACUUGACUUAAAUAGAAGGCGGCACAAUUUGAUCACAUACAUAUUUGGUUUUAUCAAUGUUAAAAAAACAUUAAUUUACAAAGACAUCCAUUAAAAGGAUAGAUACCAUGGAAUGAUAAAAAAUGUUGAAGGGACUUUUAUCGCUUUCAUGUAGGACUUCGGACUGAAUGUUUACAUGAGGGUUCUAAUAUUUUAUAUUCACUUUCUGUCUAUGCGGAGAAGAGUUUGUUAUUUCCUAGGUUCUAUUUUUAAAUUAUACAAAUUGAAGGGCAAGACCUUAAACACUAACAUUAGGUCCGAACUUAAAAAUCUAAUAAACAAUAAUUGUCUUAUCAUACGUUGUACCUCAAAAAAAGAAUGACGCUUUACUUACAUUUGUUAACUUUGAUUAUAGCUAUGAUUAUGAUACACUAAAAUGUUUUAUAGCAUGCAUUUAAUAUAUUAAUUGCUGAUGGAGAUAUGAUAACUAGACGUCCAUCGAGAGCUCAGUAAUUUUUAUAUGCGUUAUAUACAUUUAAAACAUGUUUAACAAAUAUCAAGAUUUUCAUACAUCAUGAUUAUUGUCUUUGUCAUUACAAAAAUAUAUAAUAAAUACUUCCACC
rnacentral:lncRNA from 1 species